AUACUUACCUGGCAGGGGAGAUACCAUGAUCACGAAGGUGGUUUUCCCAGGGCGAGGCUUAUCUGUUGUACUCCGGAUGUGCUGACCCCUGCGAUUUCCCCAAAUGUGGGAAACUUGACUGCAUAAUUUGUGGUAGUGGGGGACUGCAUUCGUGCUCUCCCCUG
rnacentral:snRNA from 1 species